GCUUAGGUGUAGCUCAGCUGGUAGAGCAACUGACUUGUAAUCAGUAGGUCGCGGGUUCGACUCCUGUUGCUUAAGCACCA
rnacentral:tRNA from 1 species